GUUAAUAGGUACAUCACCUUGCAACUCACAGCUAGCAGCCCUGUAAAACUAAGCAGGUAUGAGCCUGGCCAGUACCUGGAUGGGAGACCUUCUGGGAAAGCCAAGGUUGUUGUUGGAG
rnacentral:rRNA from 1 species